rnacentral:rRNA from 1 species
UACGUAGGGGGCUAGCGUUGUCCGGAAUCAUUGGGCGUAAAGCGCGUGUAGGCGGUCCGGUAAGUCCGCUGUGAAAGUCGGGGGCUCAACCCUCGAAAGCCGGUGGAAACUGUCGGGCUAGAGUACGGAAGAGGCGAGUGGAAUUCCUGGUGUAGCGGUGGAAUGCGCAGAUAUCAGGAGGAACACCAAUAGCGAAGGCAGCUCGCUGGGACGGUACUGACACUGAGAGACGAAAGCUAGGGGAGCAAAUGGG